rnacentral:lncRNA from 1 species
UGUGCACCACCCUCUCACCCAAACGAAGGCAGCUGGCCCUGAAGUUCUCUGAGCUUGAGGACAAAAAAAGACCUCUGUGAGUUGUCAGGCUCUGUUACAGUCUGGGUCAGCAGACAAGAGUCCCAGGGCUCGGCCGUCUUCUCUAGGAGAGAAAAUAUUCGUGCCAUAUAGCGUGUUCUAAGAGUUCUCACCAGAAGCCCAGAAAGUUCUGUAUUUACUCAGCAUUCAAGGGAAAACAGACCCUGUAUUUUUGGGAUUCCUGAAAGGUGACCAGGUGAGAGCAAAGCCCAACUUCCUGGGGAAAAGCUCUCAGCGCAGUGAAUGCUACAUUCGGAGGUAGGAAGGCUCUGGAUGUGAGUCUUCAUGUUUGUUUUUUGUUUUUUGUUUUUUUUUCUCUAAAAUUACCAAAAAAGAGGAAUAUCCACAGAAGCAGAAGUAGGAAUGGGGAAGGAGGGGACAAGUUUAGACCAAGCUCUUCUGUGACCUCACUUCUGCUUUUGAAGUCCCACAGCUCUAUAAGACAGGAACACUUGGUAUUUCUCGGUGUCUGUGAGGUGAGUCAUGCAUUUUAUAGGCGCAGAAAUUGAAAGAGGAGUGACUUGCGUAUGGUCAGAGAGCAAGUCCAAGACUACGGUGAGUCCAGCACCACAGGGCCACCCAGAACUACUUGGCCUGCUGCCCAUCCUCUUGUCUCUCCACUGCACUAGGCAUAAAUGUCAGUAAAGAAAGCAAGUGUGGCCCAUUGAGAGAAAAUGUGGCACAAGCCAAGAGUUCACAGCACUUGAAGUGGUAAAGGCAGAUCCAGGUUGAGGCUCUGUUCUGCCCAGUUUAUGAUGAAAUACUGAUAGUGGAUUUCUUCCUUUUCACCUGUUCCUGCCCCACUUGCCUGUCAAAGUCAGCCAGCACACUUUCCUCAGCAAAUGGGUGGUAGGUUCUGGGCAAAACAAUGUUAUAAUAAAAACAGAAAAGGUAAACCAUG